CUUAGAUACAGUAAGACCUAAAACACCACCUGCUGCAAUCAAAAAUGCAAAACCUCAUGAGGAUGAUGAAGAGAUUUCAACAAGUCCUGGAGUCUCAGAAUUUGUUAGUGAUGCCUUUGAUGCUUGUAGCCUAAAUCAUGAGGACCUGAGGAAGGAAAUGAAACAGCUAGUGCUCGAUAAGGACAAGGAAACAAAUGCAGAGGAAGAUGAGCCAGCAGACUGGGAGAAGGAACUGCAGCAAGAACUUCAGGAGUAUGAAGUGGUUUCAGAGUCAGAAAAAAGAGAUGACAACUGGGAUAAAGAGAUUGAGGCAAUGCUACAAGCAGAGGGAUGAAUUUAUAUUCUGAAGGAGGUAAACUGCACCUCCUGUGAAGAACUGCAUUACUGAUGUGAAUACUUAGAUUCAUUUAAACCUCAGUGCAGAAUUUAGCCAGCCCCAAAGAAGUUUUAACACUCCUUAGCAAAGACCUGGGGAGUGUGAAUAUGUGCUGCAACAAUUCUUUCUAAAACUGGGAUCAAGAGAUGAAACGCCAAAUUUGUUUUUUUUUUCAGUGAUAUAAAGAUGGCUACAUCGCAUAAAGCAAUAAAGAUAUGGACAUCACA